GGCAGACACCCUCCUCCUCUCUUCCUGGUCUUCACAGCUCUGUAACUACACUUGUCUUCCGGAUACACCAUAUUCUCCUUGAAGGCAGGGACUGCUUCCCACUCCUCAUGGCCAUCCUCUCAACACCUGGACCACAGUAGUUGCGCCUGUGCUUACUCCUUUCCUUGGGUCUCUCAUUAGAAUUUCGGAGAAGCGUUGUUCAUUGUGGAGAUGCCGACAUUGAGGACUGAGAGGUUUUUGUGCAAGUCAAGGAAUUUGGAGAGUGUCCUCCAAUGCCACUGCAGCUGUUUUCCUGUCUCCAGAGUCAGGAGGGAGGACAGAGCCCAGUGGAAUGAGACCAUCUUGGCAGGUCAGCCUACUGGAGGGGGAGGAGGGUAGCCCUCAACCCUGUCUCAUUAGACUCUGCCAGGCUCAGCCAAAUUAAUCUUCCCUUGGUCUAGGGGUCAAUGGAAUUUGCAUCCCCACUUCUUACAUCCUCACUUCUUUGCCCCCUUUUCAAGUGUACUAGUGGUUUGGUUCAUACAUAUACACACACACACAAAUCAAUAUAAAACAAGAGGCCCUCAGCAACCCAGAACACAGGAAUCCAGGGAUGGGGGGGUUUGGGAGGUGAAGGAAGUCUGGAAGUCAGUGCCUGCACCGCCCUCACUCCCAGGUGUGCCAGCAGGGUGCAUACUAGGUGCCUGGGGACCACUCAGCUGCUUACAGCUCAGCUCUCCACAGCAGCCUCUCAGAUAGGGACGGUGAAAUACUGGGGACUUGGGCUACUCAAAGUCCUAUUCAGUGGCCGAGCCAAGUCCCAAGUGUGAGGAGUGAUGGCUCCAAAAUCACCUAAGCCAGCGUACCUUCUUG